rnacentral:rRNA from 1 species
CGUGUAGGCGGUCAGGUAAGUUGGACGUGAAAGCUCCUGGCUCAACUGGGAGAGGUCGUUCAAAACUGCCGGACUAGUGGGCGACAGAGGGAGGUGGAAUUCCCGGUGUAGUGGUGAAAUGCGUAGAUAUCGGGAAGAACACCAGUGGCGAAGGCGGCCUCCUGGGUCGCACCUGACGCUCAGACGCGAAAGCUAGGGGAGCGAACG